UAAGAACAGAAAUGUUUUCAGCUCACCAUUACUAAUCAGUCGUGAGGCUUGACCAUAU
rnacentral:rRNA from 1 species